rnacentral:rRNA from 1 species
GCCAACAAUAACGCACAAUCAUACACCAAUAGAUAAACAAAACAUUUGACUAACUUAGUAGAUGAGAUCGAACAGUAAAUACAACCAGUACCGCAAGGGAAAUAAAUAAGCAAUGAACAGCAAAGAUUAACCCUUGUACCUUUCGCAUCAUGGUCUAGCAAGAAAUCAAAGACAAGAAGAAUCAUAGCCUCCACCCCGAAACCAGAUGAGCUACUUUCAAGCAGCCGAAAGAGCUUACCCUUCUCUGUGGCAAAAGAGUGGGAAGACUUAAAAGUAGAAGUGAAACGCCUAUCGAAUCUGGAGAUAGCUGGCUACCCUAAAUAGAAUAUAAGUUCAACCACAGAACCAACAAGAACACAUUCUCCCCUGUGGAAAAUCAAUAGGGGUUCAGCCCUAUUGAAACAGGAUACAACCUGAAUUUGAGAGGAUAAACCAACCCCCAACCAGUAGACCUUAAAGCAGCCACCUAACAAAAUAUCGUUAAAGAAUUCCUAAACCAAUCCCAACACCAGUUUUAAACUUCAAAUCAACUAAAGGUAGACCCAUAACAAUGGGUACUAUUAUGCUAGAACUAAUAAUAAGACAACCUCUCUUCAUGCACCUUUCCACUAAAACCGGACCAACCAUUAGCCAUUAACAGACCACAUCAGGCAUCAACCAAACAAUACACAACUUAAACCCCACUGUUACCCCAACACAGGCGCAUUAAAAAGAAAGAUUAACUAUUAUAAAAGGAACUCGGCAAACAAAGAUUCCAACUGUUUAACAAAAACAUAACCUUUAGACUAACCAAUAUUAAAGGCAACGCCUGCCCAGUGAACAUUAAACGGCCGCGGUACCCUAACCGUGCAAAGGUAGCAUAAUCACUUGUCUACUAAUUAUAGACCUGUAUGAAAGGCAAAAUGAGAAUCUAACUGUCUCUUAUAAUAAAUCAAUUAAACUGAUCUCCUAGUAAAAAAGCUAGAAUUAAACCAUAAGACCAGAAGACCCUGUGAAGCUUUAACUAAACUAUUAAACCCUAUAAUACCUACUUUCGGUUGGGGCGACCUUGGAAAAAAAAAGAACUUCCAAUACAUGACUACAUCAUACUACACCUCAGGCCUACGAGCCAAUUAACGACCCAGCAAAGCUGAUAAUUGAACCAAGUUACUCCAGGGAUAACAGCGCAAUCCUCUUCAAGAGCCCAUAUCAAAAAGAGGGUUUACGACCUCGAUGUUGGAUCAGGACAUCCUAAUGGUGCAGACGCUAUUAAGGGUUCGUUUGUUCAACGAUCAAUAGUCCUACGUGAUCUGAGUUCAGACCGGAGUAAUCCAGGUCGGUUUCUAUCUAUGACAUGCUCUUAUCCAGUACGAAAGGACCGAUAAAACAAAGCCAAUGCUAAAAGCACGCUCUAACAACUCUUACUACCACAUGACCCCAUUAACCAAGAUAAGGUUAUUAAGGACCCCCCUUAA